GCUUAUGGCCAUACCACCCUGAGCACAGCUGAUCUCAUAAGCUACGCAUGGGCAGGUCUGGUUAGUAGUUGGCUGGGAGACAGCCUGUGAAUACUAGAUGCUGUAAGCU
ensembl:rRNA 5S_rRNA 5S ribosomal RNA